rnacentral:rRNA from 1 species
GACGAACGCUGGCGGCAUGCUUAACACAUGCAAGUCGAACGGGGAACCUGCUGCGGGGGGGGGACAGUGGAGAACGGGUGGGUAACACGUGGGCAACCUGCCCUCAGCUCUGGGAUAACGCCAGGAAAUUGGGGCUAGUACUGGAUAUGACCGCUGACCGCAUGGACUGGUGGUGGAAAGAUGUAUCGGCUGGGGAUGGGGCCGCGGCCUAUCAGCUUGGUGGUGGGGUAGUGGCCUACCAAGGCGACGACGGGUAGCCGGCCUGAGAGGGGGACCGGCCACACUGGGACUGAGCCACGGCCCAGACUCCUCCGGGACGCAGCGGUGGGGAAUAUUGUGCAAUGGGCGAAAGCCUGACGCAGCGACGCCGCGUGGGGGAUGACGGCCUUCGGGUUGUAAUCCUCUUCCAGCAGGGACGAAGCGAAAGUGACGGUACCUGCAGAAGAAGCACCGGCUAACUACGUG